AGUGAACGCUGGCGGUAGGCCUAACACAUGCAAGUCGAACGGCAGCACAGUAAGAGCUUGCUCUUACGGGUGGCGAGUGGCGGACGGGUGAGGAAUACAUCGGAAUCUACUUUUUCGUGGGGGAUAACGUAGGGAAACUUACGCUAAUACCGCAUACGACCUACGGGUGAAAGCAGGGGAUCUUCGGACCUUGCGCGAUUGAAUGAGCCGAUGUCGGAUUAGCUAGUUGGCGGGGUAAAGGCCCACCAAGGCGACGAUCCGUAGCUGGUCUGAGGGGAUGAUCGGCCACACUGGAACUAGGAAACGUUCCAGACUCCUACGGAAGGAGGCGGUGGGAAAUAUUGGACAAGGGGGGCAAGCCUGAUCCAGCCAUACCGCGUGGGUGAAGAAGGCCUUCGGGUUGUAAAGCCCUUUUGUUGGGAAAAAAAAGCAGCAGGUUAAUACCCCGCUGUUCUGACGGUACCAAAAGAAUAAGCACCGGCAAACUUCGU
rnacentral:rRNA from 1 species